UACGUAGGGUCCGAGCGUUGUCCGGAAUUACUGGGCGUAAAGAGCUCGUAGGUGGUUUGUCGCGUUGUUCGUGAAAACUCACAGCUCAACUGUGGGCGUGCGGGCGAUACGGGCAGACUUGAGUACUGCAGGGGAGACUGGAAUUCCUGGUGUAGCGGUGGAAUGCGCAGAUAUCAGGAGGAACACCGGUGGCGAAGGCGGGUCUCUGGGCAGUAACUGACGCUGAGGAGCGAAAGCAUGGGGAGCAAACAGG
rnacentral:rRNA from 1 species